GCACCUGUGGCAUAUGGAAGUUCCUGGGCUAGGGACGGAAUCAGAGCUGCAGCUGCAGCUGCAGCCUAUGUCAUGGCCACAGCAACUUGGGAUCUGAGCCACAUGGGCGACCUACACCACAGCUUCCAACAACACUGGAUCCUUAGCCCAUUGAUCACGGCCAGAGAUCAAACCCACAUCCUCACAGAGAUGAUGUUGGGUCUUUAACCCACUGAGCCGUAGCAGAAACUCAUUGUACAUAGUCUUUUUCAGGUUGAAGAAGUUCCCUCUAUUCUUAGUUUUCUGAGAGUAUUUUUUUUUUAUCAUGAGUGGAUAUUGAAUUUUGGCAGAUGCUUUUUUGCAUCAAUUCCUAAGAUCAUGUGAUUUUUCUUCUAUAGCCUGGUAGUAUGGGGCAUUACAUUAAUUUAAAUGCAUGGGUCCAGUCUGCCACCUUGCAGUUGGAAUCAUGUUUAGUUUCUAAGUUUGCAGAUGUUGAAUUAGAGCAUUAUGUGUCCCUCACUUAUAAGAAACAACAUUUUACUUUUCAGUUGUUAAUCUGGGGUUGAUCAUUGUUAAUGAUCAGUUGUUAAUCAUUGAAUCAAUUGUUAAUCAUUGAAUGACUGCAAAUGUUUAAAAUGAUACUCUUGUUAUUAAUGGACAUUCAGUUGAAGCAGUGAAUUUGAGACUGAGUGUAUGUAUAUUUUUCUAAACCUUCAAAAUCAGGAGAGUUCAACUGAAUUACCCACUACAAGAAGGUCUGUUUUUAAGUAAUAAUCAACUCUUAUCCCAUUUUUUACUGCCGUUGUUGGAGCAGAAGUUGUGAAUUACUAAGUUAUCUCAUACCCUAAAAUUUGGAAAUUAUCUAAGGAGCUGGUUGGAUGAUGAACCUUUCUUUAAGGUGCUGGCAGACUCAUGGCAACACUGGAUCCUUAACCCACUGAGUGAGGCCAGGGAUCAAACCUGCAUCCUCAUGGAUACUAUGUGGAUUCUCAACCUGCUGAACCACAAGGAGAAAUCCCCUCCCCUCAUGUUUUUGAACAUCUUAUCAUUUUGGCCAUUUGAAGAAGUUCUGUUGAAGCUUUUUCAUAUAUCUAGUUUUUUUUUCUCCUCAAUUAGAUUGCAUAUUCCUUGAGGAAAAGGAUCUUUAAAAAUCUCUUCUGUACUCCCACAGUGAGGAGCCUGCUAAAUAUAUCGUAGAUACUCAACAGAUUAAAACUGAAAGUUACUCUGUCCCUCAGCACUGUUUGUGUACAAAGGUCUAGUCUUUGUCCUCAAGGAGCAUAGAAUCCAUUAGAACAUAAAGUGCAUAGAAAUAUGUGCUUUGAGGAGUUCCCUCCAUAGCUCAGUGGGUUAAGAACCUGACAUAGUCUCCUUGAGGAUGUGGAUCCAGUCCCUGGCCUUGCUCAGUGGGUUAGGGAUCUGGGUGUUACCACAAGCGUGGCAUAGGCUGCAGCUGCAGCUCCAAUUUGAGCCCUGGCCUGGAAACUUACAUGUGC
rnacentral:lncRNA from 1 species